rnacentral:rRNA from 1 species
GACGGCCUACGGGGGGCAGCAGUGGGGAAUAUUGCACAAUGGGGGAAACCCUGAUGCAGCGACGCCGCGUGAGUGAGGAAGUAUUUCGGUAUGUAAAGCUCUAUCAGCAGGGAAGAAAAUGACGGUACCUGACUAAGAAGCCCCGGCUAACUACGUGCCAGCAGCCGCGGUAAUACGUAGGGGGCAAGCGUUAUCCGGAUUUACUGGGUGUAAAGGGAGUGUAGACGGAAUAGCAAGUCUGAUGUGAAAACCCGGGGCUCAACUCCGGGAGGGCAUUGGAAACUGUUGAUCUAGA